ensembl:lncRNA
GGGACUGGGAGACUAGUCAGGAUCGAGGGGAAGAUGAACGGAGCAAAGUACAGAGAGAUGUCUGGUGAAAACCUGCUCCAGAGCUCUCAGGACCUCAGACUGGGGCGACGACUCCAAUGAGACUGCAUGAAUCAGGUCUUCAUGGUCGAAUUGCUACAAAGAAACCACUACUAAAGGACACCAAUAAGAAGAAGAGACUUGCUUGGGCCAAGAAACACGAACAAUGGACAUUUGACCAGUCUUUUGGUCUGGACAAUGACCCAACACACCUCCAGGCUGUGUAAGGGCUAUUUGACCAAGAAGGAGAGUGAUGGAGUGCUGCAUCAGAUGACCUGGCCUCCACAAUCACCUGAUUUGUUCAACUACAUGAUUCCAUGUGUUAUUCCAUAGUUCUGAUGUCUUCA